CACCUCUCAGGGUUGCACCUGGAGAGUUUCCAGUACUCUACCAGUCUCAAAUACGGGAAGGAGUGUCAAGCAGAGGCCUACCCAAUCUAUUCCUAGCUUGGGCAGUGGCUAGCGAGAGGAAGGCAAUCUGCUACAAGU